UGGGAGUAAAAAAGUCUACCAGGCAAAGGUUUUAGUGGUCCAUGCCAUACUGUCCUCAGUCGUGCACAGACUGUUUGAUCAAAUUUUGUCCCAAGUUCUGCAGAGUUUGUCUCUGUGUUCCAUGAAUGCUCCAGGCCCUCUCCUGAAAGUGCCCGACUGGCUCACAGUCACAGCUUGACUAGAAGAGGACAGCAGGGGGCGUUGGGGUCCCACGCAACUCAAGCUCACCCAUGGCUUCCAGCUUUCAGAAAACAUGUGUCACGCUCCCGGCACAUUUCCUCCACCCUCACAAACCACAAAUAAAUGUGUGAUGCUAACCUGGCUGACUCAGAAUAAAGUCCCACUGAAGCCAAUGUGACUAUCCUCCAGUUCUUCCUCUGGUGUGGCCACCACAGCAGAUACAUGAGAUGGUGGGUGGAAGGUGAACUGACAGCAGAACCCAGCCCAGGGCAUUUUCCACUGGGAAAUGGGCUCCACCUCAUCCUGGUCCCCUGCCUCCCAGCAAUUUUCCACAUCAGAGGUUUGAGACCGAAGAACUGAAAUCUGCGGAGAGCCUUUGUUCUGUCUUUUAUCUUGUGAAUUGUUGGUCCGGCUCACAAAGGUGUUUUGAAGUCUUUUAAACAGCUAAUUGACAUAUAAAUGGUUUUCUUGAAACAUAGAACCUGUCAAGCACUUGGUUCUUCAGAACGAAGGAUAGAUUUGAACUGACUUCCGAUGUGCCAGGGUCUCCGCACUCUACGAGGACGCUCUCCAGCAUGAAUCAGACUGCUCUCAGAGAAGAUAUCUUUUAAAUCCCAAUUGCCUAAAAAGCUUCAUUUUGUAUUUUAAGCCCCUCCUUGAAUACAAGCAUUCCUUGGGGACACUGCCAGGAGCCUGGACUGCAUUCAUCCUUUGAUUUCCUUAAACCUUUGUGUAUUUACGCUUAAUAACCGACAUUAGUGACAUUAAAAUUCUACUCACUGCAA